rnacentral:rRNA from 1 species
UACGUAGGGUGCAAGCGUUGUCCGGAAUUAUUGGGCGUAAAGAGCGUGUAGGCGGCCAGACAGGUCUGCUGUGAAAACUCGAGGCUCAACCUCGAGAUGUCGGCGGAAACCAUUUGGCUAGAGUCCGGAAGAGGAAAGUGGAAUUCCUGGUGUAGCGGUGAAAUGCGCAGAUAUCAGGAAGAACACCCGUGGCGAAGGCGGCUUUCUGGGACGGUACUGACGCUGAGACGCGAAAGCGUGGGGAGCGAACAGG